GAUGAACGCUGGCGGCGUGCCUAAUACAUGCAAGUCGAGCGAACAGACGAGGAUCUUGCUCCUCUGACGUUAGCGGCGGACGGGUGAGUAACACGUGGCUAACCUACCUAUAAGGCUGGGGUCACUUCGGGAAACCGGAGCUAAUACCGGAUAAUAUGUUGAACCGCAUGGUUCAAUAGUGCACGCCGGUUUUGCUGUCACUUAUAGAUGGAUCCUGGCCGGAUUAGCUAGUUGGUACGGUAAAGGCUUACCAAGGCAACGAUGCGUAGCUGACCUGAGAGGAUGAUCAGUCACACUGGAACUGAGACACGGUCCAGACUCCUACGGGAGGCAGCAGUGGGGAAUAUUGGACAAUGGGCGAAAGCCUGAUCCAGCCAUGCCGCGUGUGUGAAGAAGGUCUUCGGAUUGUAAAGCACUUUAAGUUGGGAGGAAGGGCAGUAAGUUAAUACCUGGCUGUUUUGACGUUACCAACAGAAUAAGCACCGGCUAACUUCGUG
rnacentral:rRNA from 1 species